AGAGUUUGAUCAUGGCUCAGAUUGAACGCUGGCGGCAUGCCUAACACAUGCAAGUCGAACGGCAGCACAGGGGAGCUUGCUCCCUGGGUGGCGAGUGGCGGACGGGUGAGUAAUACAUCGGGACCUACCCAGACGUGGGGGAUAACCUCGGGAAACCGGGACUAAUACCGCAUACGUCCUACGGGAGAAAGCGGGGGACCUUCGGGCCUCGCGCGGCUGGACGGACCGAUGUUCGAUUAGCUAGUUGGUGGGGUAAAGGCCUACCAAGGCGACGAUCGAUAGCUGGUCUGAGAGGAUGAUCAGCCACAUUGGGACUGAGACACGGCCCAAACUCCUACGGGAGGCAGCAGUGGGGAAUAUUGGACAAUGGGCGCAAGCCUGAUCCAGCAAUGCCGCGUGUGUGAAGAAGGCCUUCGGGUUGUAAAGCACUUUUAUCAGGAGCGAAAUCGGCAAGGUUAAUAACCGUGUCGUCUGACGGUACCUGAGGAAUAAGCACCGGCUAACUUCGUGCCAGCAGCCGCGGUAAUACGAAGGGUGCAAGCGUUAAUCGGAAUUACUGGGCGUAAAGGGUGCGUAGGCGGUUAUUUAAGUCUGUCGUGAAAUCCCCGGGCUCAACCUGGGAAUGGCGAUGGAAACUGGGUAGCUAGAGUGUG
rnacentral:rRNA from 1 species